CCAGCUCCAAUAGCGUAUAUUUAAGUUGUUGCAGUUAAAAAGCUCGUAGUUGGAUUUUGGGUUGGAGGAUUCGGUCUGCCGCCAGGUUGAUACUGUCUCCCCCAUCCUUCUUGCCGGGGACGCGCUCUGGCCUUCAUUGGCUGGGGUGCGGAGUCGGCGAUGUUACUUUGAAAAAAUUAGAGUGUUCAAAGCAGGCAUGCGCUCUGAAUACAUUAGCAUGGAAUAACGCGAUAGGACUCUGGUCCUAUUGUGUUGGUCUUCGGGACCGGAGUAAUGAUUAAAAGGGACAGUUGGGGGCAUUCGUAUUUCAUUGUCAGAGGUGAAAUUCUUGGAUUUAUGAAAGACGAACUACUGCGAAAGCAUUUGCCAAGGAUGUUUUCA
rnacentral:rRNA from 1 species